GUGCUCGUUUCUGCAGCACAUAUACUAAAUUAGAAUGACACAAAGAAGAUUAGCAUGGCUUCUGAGGAAGGAUGACGCACAAAUUUGUGAAGAAUUAGAAUUAUAA
ensembl:snRNA U6 U6 spliceosomal RNA